GCUGGGGCUUAUGGCUGUUCUGGGAGGACUAGCAUCUCUGCUAGGGCUCCCCAUCUCCUUUUGGUUUCCCCCGGGGCAUUUGACUCUCACCUGUAGCUCCAAGAAGCCAUAGUCUGCUCAGGGAACACAAUCCAGUCAAACUGUCUCAGCAGACAGGCUAGACCAGGUUGAGGGUAACCAAUGGACCUCCAAACUCUAAGGAAACUGAGGCUGAGAGAGGUUAAGUGAGUUGUCCAGGCUCACAUAGCCAUAAGGUUUAUGAAUGCUUCUCACACAGACUGGCUUCUGGCAUUUAGCAGUAAAUACAGCGAGCUCCUCAACAUUCUCAAGAAGAGAGGAGGAGUAUAUGGGGCCUGACGGAUCCACUUCAGACAACACAAGCCUGAAAGAAAACCCAGCAACCUCCCUGCCUCCACCACCCUGGUUCCCUCCCAUUGUGUGGUGAUAUUUUUUGCUUAAAGAGCUGAGUGUUGCCUUGGCAAAAUCAGCCUUGCCUCCUAGGCCCGAGCCCCUUGGACUUCCAAAGGAGGAGGAGAAAAAGUGGUUGAUGUUUUUCACCUGAGGCUCGUGCUGGAGAAGUGACAGAGAAGAAACACUCCCUUCAAAUCUGGAACAACCUUCGCUGCCCAGAGGUGGAAAUAUCACUUCUGUCCAUCUUGUGAUCCUAUUGCCAGAAUGGGCUGUUGUUAAUAAAGAUGGCUGAGAAACCUGGACA
rnacentral:lncRNA from 1 species